rnacentral:rRNA from 1 species
AUUGAACGCUGGCGGAAUGCUUUACACAUGCAAGUCGGGCGGCAGCAUGGACUUCGGUCUGAUGGCGAGCGGCGAACGGGUGAGUAAUGUAUAGGAACAUACCCAGUAAUGGGGGAUAACGCCGAGAAAUCGGUGCUAAUACCGCAUACGCCCUGAGGGGGAAAGCGGGGGAUCUUCGGACCUCGCGUUAUUGGAUUGGCCUAUAUCUGAUUAGCUAGUUGGUGAGGUAAAGGCUCACCAAGGCUUCGAUCAGUAGCUGGUCUGAGAGGAUGAUCAGCCACACUGGGACUGAGACACGGCCCAGACUCCUACGGGAGGCAGCAGUGGGGAAUAUUGGACAAUGGGCGAAAGCCUGAUCCAGCAAUGCCGCGUGAGUGAUGAAGGCCUUAGGGUUGUAAAGCUCUUUUACCCGAGAUGAUAAUGACAGUAUCGGGAGAAUAAGCUCCGGCUAACUCCGUGCCAGCAGCCGCGGUAAU